GAUGAACGCUGGCGGCGUGCCUAACACAUGCAAGUCGAGCGAGAAGUAAAGAAAUGAAGCUUCGGUAGAUUUUCAUUAUGGAAAGCGGCGGACGGGUGAGUAACGCGUAGGCAACCUGCCCUGUACAGGGGGAUAGCCACCCGAAAAGGUGAUUAAUACCCCAUGAUGCAAGAGAUACACAUGUAUCACUUGUCAAAGAUUUAUCGGUAUGGGAUGGGCCUGCGUCUGAUUAGCUAGUUGGUAGGGUAACGGCUUACCAAGGCAACGAUCAGUAGCCGACCUGAGAGGGUGAUCGGCCACAUUGGAACUGAGACACGGUCCAAACUCCUACGGGAGGCAGCAGUGGGGAAUAUUGCACAAUGGGGGAAACCCUGAUGCAGCAACGCCGCGUGAAGGAAGAAGGCCUUCGGGUUGUAAACUUCUGUCCUAGGGGAAGAAACAAAUGACAUACC
rnacentral:rRNA from 1 species